rnacentral:rRNA from 1 species
GCCAGCAGCUAGCUCUCUGCAACUCUCACAUGGUCGCCCUCCGAAGCUAAGGAGGGCUGUGCACGGUCAGUACCUGGAUGGAAGACCACAUGGGAAAGCUAGGGUUACUGCUGGAA